GACGAACGCUGGCGGCGUGCUUAACACAUGCAAGUCGAACGGAAAGGCCCCUCUUUUGUGGGGUGCUCGAGUGGCGAACGGGUGAGUAACACGUGAGUAAUCUGCCCUUGACUUUGGGAUAACUUCAGGAAACUGGGUCUAAUACCGGAUAGGAGCUCCUGCUGCAUGGUGGGGGUUGGAGAGUUUCGGCGGUUGGGGAUGGACCCGCGUCUUAUCAUCUUGUUGGUGGGGUAGUGGCUUACCAAGGCUUUGACGGGUAGCCGGCCUGAGAGGGUGACCGGCCACAUUGGGACUGAGAUACGGCCCAGACUCCUACGGGAGGCAGCAGUGGGGAAUAUUGCACAAUGGGCGGAAGCCUGAUGCAGCAACGCCGCGUGCGGGAUGACGGCCUUCGGGUUGUAAACCGCUUUCGCCUGUGACGAAGCGUGAGUGACGGUAAUGGGUAAAGAAGCACCGGCUAACUACGUG
rnacentral:rRNA from 1 species